rnacentral:rRNA from 1 species
GACGAACCGUGCGAACGUUGUUCGGAAUCACUGGGCUUAAAGGGCGCGUAGGCGGGCUGCCAAGUCUGGGGUGAAAUCCCACGGCUCAACCGUGGAACUGCCUCGGAUACUGGCGGUCUCGAGGGAGGUAGGGGCAUGCGGAACUGUGGGUGGAGCGGUGAAAUGCGUUGAUAUCCACAGGAACUCCGGUGGCGAAAGCGGCGUGCUGGACCUCUUCUGACGCUGAGGCGCGAAAGCCAGGGGAGCGAACGGG